UAAACCAAGGAAAAAUUCUCACAAAAAAUUUUCCAAUCGAAAUUCAAUCGAUUCUAUUCGAAGAGGGGAAGAGGCAAGGAAGAAGCGACUUCCUUCCUCUGUCCUUUGUCCUAAAGUAAUGGAAAAGAAAAAGCGCAGGUGGGGUAGCAGGCCUGAUCUCUUUUCGCUCUGCUCGAGAUCUCAUAUUAGAGAGCAUCCAUCCAUCCAUCCAUCGGGUCCAUAGGAUUUUAUAGAAGCGUGGGAGAGAGGGACAGGUGGUUCGAGUUAUUCUUGUGUAUCCUGCGUUCUUCAGUAGCACCUUACCGUAUAUUCGAUAUUUCUGUUCCAUAUCCUACCUGAGCACACCUUGUGGGAAAACUUCCUGAUGCUGAUUGAACCGUGGAAACCGUGAACGCGAUUGAUCCCGUAUCCGACUAGGAUAGGCGCCACGAAAUUUGCAUAUAGAUUCGACAAAUGUUUCAUGAACGGUUGAAAAAAAAAGUAAAAGGAAUUGGAAAUUGGCAAUUAUCUCUUCAAAAAUGAUUUUACGAACGCUAAAAAGAAGUACCAACACUUACGUAUCCUGUCGUUUCACGAGCCAACUUAAUUUACGCUUCUCGCAUGAAAGUUUAAUUGCCUCUACUCUUUUCGCGAAACAGGGAAUUAUUCGAUCAAGCGGAGAAGCGUGAAGAGGAACCUGUGCCUUGCCAAUGUUUAAACUCGAGAUGAUUGUAGCUGUUUCUAAAAAUAAACACGACAUACA